rnacentral:rRNA from 1 species
ACACCGGCAGCCCAAGUGGUGGCCAUUUUUAUUGGGCGUAAGCGUUGGUCACCGGCCUGAUAAGUCUCUGGUGAAAUCCCGUAGCUUCAAUGUGGGAAUUGCUGGAGAUACUAUCAGGCUUGAGGGCGGGAGAGGUUAGAGGUACUCCAAGGGUAGGGGUGAAAUCCGAUAAUACUGGGAGGACCACCUGUGGCGAAGGCGGCUAGCUUGAACGAACGUGACGGUGAGUAACGAAAGCCAGGGGGGCGAACCGGAUUAGAUACCCGGGUAGUCCUGGCCGGAAACGAUGUGUACUUGGUGUUGGGAUGGCUUCGAGCUGCCCCAGUGCCGAAGGGAAGCUGUUAAGUCCACCGCCUGGGAAGUACGGCCGCAAGGCUGAAACUUAAAGGAAUUGGCGGGG